AAACUUUCAACAACGGAUCUCUUGGUUCUGGCAUCGAUGAAGAACGCAGCGAAAUGCGACAAGUAAUGUGAAUUGCAGAAUUAAGCGAAUCAUCGAAUCUUUGAACGCACAUUGCGCCC
rnacentral:rRNA from 1 species